GGGCCUGCGGAGAGAAUCAGGCGGUCAGCUCCCAGCCCCGAGCCCGCUCUGGUGCGGCCACCUGCCCACGAGCGUUUAUUAAGCACCCACUAUAUGCCUAAGGCGUGUGAAACCUUCAAUUGCCCCAGAGCCAGAAAGAACGGCUGCUUUUUCCUCCUCCGUAGGAUACAGGUACUGGUCCCACACCGGUCCUAGAAAACGACGUGCAGCCAAAACUCAGAGGCUGUGCUCUACAGCCUCGGACAGAAGCUUCUCCCGGCAGCUGCUCUAUGAAGUAGGUGUUAAAUAUGGUGGAAUACAGAAGGAUUCAGUUAAGAUGAGAAAACUAUGGUCAAGAGAGUGGUUGACUGACAUCCAAUGGCAUGCAACAUGUAAGCAUUUGAGGCAAGAUUUGAAUUCAAGCUUCCUGACUGCAAAUCCAUCAAGAUGCCUUUAGUUGGGAAGAAUGGGACUGAUCCAAGUUAGUCCUUAUGCUCAGUGAAGCCCUGAACAACUCUACAGCAUGCUUAGGAAGAUGCUCACAGAAUCCUAACAAAGGUUCAGUGCUCUGCAACUCAUCAAGUUGUCCAGGGAAAUUAUAUCGGAAGUGACUUGCAAGAGUGCCCUUGGGAGAAUAAAGUCUGCCUUUAAUAAUGGAAGUGUCUGGACUCUUGUGUCGGUCAGAUCACAUCUGGAGUAUUUGGCUCCGAGUACCCCAUUUUAUAAGGAACUCUGACAAACUGGAGCGUAUGUAAAGGAGAGGGAUCAGAAUGAUGAGGGGAUUCAAAACCAUGUUCAAGUAGGGGAUGGCUGAAGGAGCUAGAUGUUUAACCUGGAGAAGAGAGGACUUGGGGCAGGGUCCACUGUCUAAAAAUAUUGGAAGAGUUGCUGGGUGGAAGAAGGACAGAGUUUUCCUCUGUUGUUUCAGAGCAGAAAACCAAGACUGGUGGUUGGUAGUGCUGAAGGGCUAGACCUCAGUCUAAGCUAAGGAAGAAUUUUCUAACAAUCAAGCUAUCAGAAAAUUUAAAAUGCUAGUUUGAAAAGUUAUCAAAAGUCUCCAUGAAAGACUGGACGGCUAUCUAUCAGGGGGCUUGGAGGAGACCUCUGCAGUAAGUGGGAAGCUGGACUCCAUAGCUUCAAAGCUUCCUUCCAACUCUGAAGACCCAACACAAAUUGAGGGGUAGGGUUAUUCUGAAAAAUAUUAUCAACCCAUGUAAAAUAGGAGUAGGAAGGUAAAUCCACUGCCAAACCAACUAUAUCAUGUGUUUGAGAAUUUAAGAAAAGGGACUUUCAAACAUCAAUAGCUGCUCCUGUGGAUUAUUUAUGGCAGGGCCCCUGGCCAUCUGUGCAGAAAGUUGCAAGGUUUUAUCUUUGUCUCUCUGGCUGAGUCUUAUGUCUCUUUCCUGCAGUAGAGCAUCCAGACCUUCCCGUUUGAAGCAGCACUCCCCCCACCCUCCCACACCCCUCAUAUACAUCCAUUUCUUCCUAAGAAGGAGCUGUUUGGGGGUAGGGAAGAAUUUUCCAUUAUUCCGAUGUCCUGGUCUCAUCUUCUGAUACAUCUACCAACAUCCCACUUAGAGAUAACCAAAGUUCUUUUUGUGUUGGGAAGUCUAGGAGGUUCAGGCAAAAGGUAUCGCCGAGUGCUUCCCCAUUCAUUUUUCUCCCUUCCCCUUCCAUGUUUCCCCCUAUUCUACUCACCCCCUGGCUAUGGGCUCAGCAAUCCUUUGAAGUCCAAAUGUAUGAAUGAAACACAAGGGAGUAUAAUGGACUCCUUCUGAAACUGGGAAAGUCACGCCCUAGGUGUUAAGUAACCAUUCCUCCAACAAGAAGGAAAUCCAACCUGGCUACAGUGACAGCUCCAGUUCUUCCAGAGGCUCAUUAGCUCUCCCAGGAAGCUCCAGGUUCUGCCCCAGCUCCUGUUACAGGCAGCAAGGGGCCCAGGAGCCUGAACCUCUGUUGUUCUACUACAGAGCUUAGAACUGGUGGAAAGUUUCCCUUCGGGAAGGAAAGUUUCCACUCCUCUUUCCAGCCCCCCGAGGGAGUGUAUACCAGACAUCCGGAAAAUCCUCCCGUGGACAGCCGUCUGCUGGGACUAGAGCCAGAGAAGCUGGGGCCCUGCCUGACAAGGGCCUUGCCCCUCUCCCUCCAGCACUGCCCAGGGAGAAACUCUGAACUGAAAGCAAAGGACAUUUUAAAGCGCUUUCAAUACUUCCUAUUCUUCUCU